rnacentral:rRNA from 1 species
UACGAAGGGGGCUAGCGUUGCUCGGAAUCACUGGGCGCAAAGGGUGCGUAGGCGGGUUUUUAAGUCAGGGGUGAAAUCCUGGAGCUCAACUCCAGAACUGCCUUUGAUACUGAAGAUCUUGAGUUCGGGAGAGGUGAGUGGAACUGCGAGUGUAGAGGUGAAAUUCGUAGAUAUUCGCAAGAACACCAGUGGCGAAGGCGGCUCACUGGCCCGAUACUGACGCUGAGGCACGAAAGCGUGGGGAGCAAACAGG